GACGAACGCUGGCGGCAUGCUUAACACAUGCAAGUCGAACGGAAAGGCCCUGCUUGCAGGGUACUCGAGUGGCGAACGGGUGAGUAACACGUGGGUGAUCUGCCCUGCACUUCGGGAUAAGCCUGGGAAACUGGGUCUAAUACCGGAUAGGAGCCAUUUUUAGUGUGAUGGUUGGAAAGUUUUUUCGGUGUAGGAUGAGCUCGCGGCCUAUCAGCUUGUUGGUGGGGUAAUGGCCUACCAAGGCGGCGACGGGUAGCCGGCCUGAGAGGGUGGACGGCCACAUUGGGACUGAGAUACGGCCCAGACUCCUACGGGAGGCAGCAGUGGGGAAUAUUGCACAAGGGGCGCAAGCCUGAUGCAGCGACGCCGCGUGGGGGAUGACGGCCUUCGGGUUGUAAACUCCUUUCGCUAGGGACGAAGCUUUUUGUGACGGUACCUAGAUAAGAAGCACCGGCUAACUACGUG
rnacentral:rRNA from 1 species